AUGCUCCAUCACCACAGAUUCAAAAUCAUCUUUCCUCUUCUCAACUGUUAUAAUGUACUUAACAUGCUUCCCCACCAGCAGCUCCUCCAUUCUCCCAAAACCAAACUUCUGCAGUAUAUUCGAACCAAGUCGAUUAUUAUGGCAAAUCAACAAGUAAUUUUCACUUCGAUUGAGAUUUUGAACAACUGUUACAAAUUGGAUUCGACGAGUUUGAAUGUGAAAGAGAGAACGAGAAGAAAG
rnacentral:misc_RNA from 1 species